rnacentral:misc_RNA from 1 species
GAUCAGUAAAGUGAAAUACUUACAUAUAUAUAUUAGAAGGAGACAGGGAAACCAACAUUCAACAUAUUCAUGUAGACAAACACGUAUGUAACAUCACUAUGCUGAGCAACGGUAUUAAGCUCAAUUCUUGGUGCUUUCUCUCCCAGUCCCAGAAUAGUGAAUAGGGGCGUCUGCUUUACAAACAACACGAGUUCUAUGGAGCUGGAGAUGUGGCGGCAGCUGGCCCAUUGGAACAUCAGGCAAAUCCCAUAUUGAAAAUUUCCUUUCUUUGUUUUCUUGCUUACUCAUUGUUUCUCCUUUGAUGCUUGUAUUGAUUAACCGAUUGUUGUUCUUGCUCUCUCUCUUUCUCUCUCUCUCUCUCUC